rnacentral:rRNA from 1 species
UAGUCCACGCCGUAAACUAUGGACACUUGGUGUCGGAGGUAUUGACCCCUUCGGUGCCGUAGCUAACGCGUUAAGUGUCCCGCCUGGGGAGUACGGUCGCAAGAUUAAAACUCAAAGAAAUUGACGGGGGCCCGCACAAGCGGUGGAGCAUGUGGUUUAAUUCGAUGCAACGCGAAAUACCUUACCUAGGUUUGAAUUGCAGUGGACCGCACUAGAGAUAGUGCUUCUCUUCGGAGUCGCUGUGAAGGUGCUGCAUGGCUGUCGUCAGCUCGUGUCGUGAGAUGUUGGGUUAAGUCCCGCAACGAGCGCAACCCUUACCAUUAGUUGCCAGCAUUUAGUUGGGCACUCUAGUGGGACUGCCGGCGUUAAGCCGGAGGAAGGUGGGGAUGACGUCAAGUCCUCAUGGGCCCCUUAUGUCUAGGGGCUACACACGUGCUACAAUGGGAGAAUACAAAGGGGUUGCCAAGCCGCAA